ACGAACGCUGGCGGCGUGCCUAACACAUUGCAAGUCGCACGAGAAAGUGGAGCAAUCCAUGAGUAAAGUGGCGAACGCGGUGAGUAACACGUGACUAACCUACCCUAAAGUGGGGGAUAACCUCGGGAAACCGGGGCUAAUACCGCAUAACCUCGCGAGGUGCAACUCCUUGCGAGCAAAGCAGCAAUGCGCUUAUGGAGGGGGCGCGGCUGAUUAGCUAGUUGGCGGGGUAACGGCCCACCAAGGCGAUGAUCAGUAUCCGGCCUGAGAGGGGCGCACGGACACACUGGAAACUGAAACACGGGUCCAGACUCCUACGGGAGGCAGCAGUGGGGAAUUUUGCGCAAUGGGGGAAACCCUGACGCAGCAACGCCGCGUGGAGGAUGAAGUCCCUUGGGACGUAAAACUCCUUUCGACCCGGACGAUAAUGACGGUACCUGGUGAGAAGAAGCUGCGGCUAACUACGUGCCAGCAGCCGCGGGUAAUACGUAGGCAGCAAGCGUUGUUUCGGAGUUACUGGGCGUAAGAGUCUGUAGGCGGUGCUCUAAGUUUGGUGUGAAAUCUCCCGGCUUAACCGGGAGGGUGCGCCGAAGACUGGGGGUGCUAGGUAGUACGGGAGAGGAACGCGGAAUUCCUGGUGUAGGCGGUGAAAUGCGUAGAUAUCAGGAGGAACACCGGUGAUGUAGACGGCGUUCUGGACCCGUGACUGACGCUGAGAGACGAAAGCGUGGGGAGCAAACAGGGAUUAGAUACCCUGGUAGUCCACGCCGCUAAUACGAUGCAUACUUGGUCGUGCGCCAUUCAAGUUGGUGCGUGCUGCCGAGCUAUAACGCGUUUAAGUAUGCCGCCUGGGGAGUAGCGGGUCGCAAGGCUGAAACUCAAAGGAAUUGACGGGGGGCCCGGCACAAGCGGUGGAGCAUGUGGCUUUAAGUUCGACGCAGCAACGCGAAGAACCUUACCUUGGGCUCGAACGGCUUCUCAACGAAUCGUGGGAAACACGGUUACCCCGCUAAGGGGGUGGAGUCGAGGUGCUGCAUGGUCUGUACGUCAGCUCGUGUACGUGAGAUGUAUGGGUUAAGUCCCGCAACGAGAGCGCAACCCUUAGUCCCGUGUUGCCAAGCAUUCAGUUGAGGCACUUCUCGGGAGACCGCCACGCGAUAAGCUGGAGGAAGGUGGGGAUGACGUCAAGUCAUCAUGGCCUUUAUGUCCAAGGCUACAGCCACGUGCUACAAAUGGCCGGUACAUGAACGCUGCCAACUCGCGAGAGGGAGCAAAUCGUCAAAAACCGGGUCUCAGUUCGCGAUUGCAGGGCUGCAACUUCGCGCCUGCAUGAAAGCUGGAAUCGCUAGUAAUGGCGUAUCAGAACGACGGCCGUGAAUACGUUCCCGGGGCCUUGCUACACCACCGCCCGUCACAUCACGAAAGUGCGGUUGUACUAGAGAGUCCCCAGGCUAACCGCAAGGAGGCAGGGGGCCCAAGGUAUGACUCAUGAUUGGGGUG
rnacentral:rRNA from 1 species